UACGGGGGGGGCAAGCGUUGUUCGGAAUUACUGGGCGUAAAGGGCUCGUAGGUGGCCAACUAAGUCGGACGUGAAAUCCCUCAGCUUAACUGGGGAACUGCGUCCGAUACUGGAUGGCUUGAGUUUGGGAGAGGGAUGCGGAAUUCCAGGUGUAGCGGUGAAAUGCGUAGAUAUCUGGAGGAACACCGGUGGCGAAGGCGGCAUCCUGGACCAACACUGACGCUCAGGCACGAAAGCGUGGGGAGCAAACAGG
rnacentral:rRNA from 1 species